GAGUUUGAUCCUGGCUCAGAAUGAACGCUAGCGGCAGGCCUAAUACAUGCAAGUCGUACGGGAGUCCCCCUUCGGGGGGAUGAGAGUGGCGGACGGGUGCGUAACGCGUAUGCAACCCACCCCUGUCAGCCGGAUAGCCUCGGGAAACUGGGGGUAACACGGCAUGUUCCCGGCCGGGGGCAUCCCCGACCGGGCAAAGCAGAGAUGCGGACGGGGACGGGCAUGCGUGCCAUUAGCUAGUUGGCGGGGCGACGGCCCACCAAGGCUACGAUGGCUAGGGGAUCUGAGAGGACGGUCCCCCACACUGGUACUGAGACACGGACCAGACUCCUGCGGGAGGCAGCAGUAAGGGAUAUUGGGCAAUGGGGGGAACCCUGACCCAGCCAUGCCGCGUGAGGGAAUGAGGCCCCAGUGGUCGUGAACCUCUUUUGCGCGGGGACAAGGACGCGGUCGCGAACCGUGUUUGAGGGUACCGCGCGAAUAAGCAUCGGCUAACUCCGUGCCAGCAGCCGCGGUAAUACGGAGGAUGCGAGCGUUAUCCGGAUUCAUUGGGUUUAAAGGGUGCGCAGGCGGCCCGUGCAAGUCGGCGGUGAAAUCCCGGGGCCCAACCCCGGAAGUGCCGUCGAUACUGUCGGGCUGGAAUGCGGUCGAGGCGGGCGGAACGUGGCGUGUAGCGGUGAAAUGCGUAGAUAUGCCACAGAACGCCGAUAGCGGAGGCAGCUCGCCAGGCCUGCAUUGACGCUCGGGCACGAAAGCGUGGGGAUCGAACAGGAUUAGAUACCCUGGUAGUCCACGCCGUAAACGAUGGGCGCUCGUCGUCGGCGACAGAUGGUCGGCGGCCAAGCGAAAGCGAUAAGCGCCCCACCUGGGGAGUACGGUCGCAAGGCUGAAACUCAAAGGAAUUGACGGGGGCCCGCACAAGCGGUGGAGCAUGUGGUUUAAUUCGAUGAUACGCGAGGAACCUUACCCGGGCUUGAACUGUCGUGGAACGACCGGGAGACCGGAAGGCCAGCAAUGGCCGCGACAGAGGUGCUGCAUGGUUGUCGUCAGCUCGUGCCGUGAGGUGUCGGGUCAAGUCCCAUAACGAGCGCAACCCCUGCGCGCAGUUGCCAUCGGUUAGGCCGGGCACUCUGCGCGGACUGCCCGCGCAAGCGGAGAGGAAGGCGGGGAUGACGUCAAAUCAGCACGGCCCUUACGUCCGGGGCGACACACGUGCUACAAUGGGGGGCACAGAGGGAAGCCACGCGGCGACGCGGAGCGGAUCCCGAAAGCCCUCCUCAGUACGGAUCGGGGGCUGCAACCCGCCCCCGUGAAGCUGGAAUCGCUAGUAAUCGCGCAUCAGCCAUGGCGCGGUGAAUACGUUCCCGGGCCUUGUACACACCGCCCGUCAAGCCAUGGGAGCCGCGGGCGCCUGAAGUCGGGGUCGUACCCUGCCUAGGGCGAACGUGGUGACUGGGGCUAAGUCGUAACAAGGUAACC
rnacentral:rRNA from 1 species